CAGUAGCCGCGGUAAUACGAAGGGUGCAAGCGUUAAUCGGAAUUACUGGGCGUAAAGCGUGCGCAGGCGGUUCGUUAAGACAGAUGUGAAAUCCCCGGGCUUAACCUGGGAACUGCAUUUGUGACUGGCGAGCUAGAGUAUGGCAGAGGGGGGUAGAAUUCCACGUGUAGCAGUGAAAUGCGCAGAGAUGUGGAGGAAUACCGAUGGCGAAGGCAGCCCCCUGGGCCAAUACUGACGCUCAUGCACGAAAGCGUGGGGAGCAAACAGGAUUAGAUACCCGAGUAGUCCCUGUCUCUUAUAC
rnacentral:rRNA from 1 species